GACGAACGCUGGCGGCGUGCUUAACACAUGCAAGUCGAACGGUAAGGCCCUUCGGGGUACACGAGUGGCGAACGGGUGAGUAACACGUGGGUGAUCUGCCCUGCACUUCGGGAUAAGCCUGGGAAACUGGGUCUAAUACCGGAUAGGAUCACUGCCUGACUGGGUGGUGGUGGAAAGCUUUUGCGGUGUGGGAUGGGCCCGCGGCCUAUCAGCUUGUUGGUGGGGUGAUGGCCUACCAAGGCGACGACGGGUAGCCGGCCUGAGAGGGUGACCGGCCACACUGGGACUGAGAUACGGCCCAGACUCCUACGGGAGGCAGCAGUGGGGAAUAUUGCACAAUGGGCGCAAGCCUGAUGCAGCGACGCCGCGUGAGGGAUGACGGCCUUCGGGUUGUAAACCUCUUUCAGCACCGACGAAGCGCAAGUGACGGUAGGUGCAGAAGAAGGACCGGCCAACUACGUGCCAGCAGCCGCCGUAA
rnacentral:rRNA from 1 species